rnacentral:rRNA from 1 species
GAUGAACGCUGGCGGCGUGCCUAAUACAUGCAAGUCGAGCGAACAGACGAGGAGCUUGCUCCUCUGAUGUUAGCGGCGGACGGGUGAGUAACACGUGGAUAACCUACCUAUAAGACUUGGAUAACUUCGGGAAACCGGAGCUAAUACCGGAUAACAUGUUGAACCGCAUGGUUCAACAGUGAAAGACGGUCUUGCUGUCACUUAUAGAUGGAUCCGCGCCGCAUUAGCUAGUUGGUAAGGUAACGGCUUACCAAGGCAACGAUGCGUAGCCGACCUGAGAGGGUGAUCGGCCACACUGGAACUGAGACACGGUCCAGAGUCCUACGGGAGGCAGCAGUAGGGAAUCUUCCGCAAUGGGCGAAAGCCUGACGGAGCAACGCCGCGUGAGUGAAGAAGGUCUUCGGAUCGUAAAACUCUGUUAUUAGGGAAGAACAAAUGUGUAAGUAACUAUGCACGUCUUGACGGUACCUAAUCAGAAAGCCACGGCUAACUACGUG